rnacentral:miRNA from 12 species
GGAGGGAGCAAAGAAGGUGAAGCUCUUUUCAUCGGUGCCCAGUGACAGGAGCAGAGCCAAUGGGCACAAACUGGAACACAGGGGGUUUGUUCUGAACAUGAGGAA